ACUCCCGUGGCGCAAUGGAUUAGCGCGUUGGACUUCUAAUUCAAGGGUUGUGGGUUCGAGUCCCAUCGUGAUUG
rnacentral:tRNA from 1 species